GAUGAAGAACGUAGCGAAAUGCGAUAAGUAAUGUGAAUUGCAGAAUUCCGUGAACCAUCGAAUCUUUGAACGCACAUUGCGCCCGCUGGAACUCCGGCGGGCACGCCUGUCCGAGCGUCAUUUCAACCCUCAGGCCCCCCUUCGCGGGCGGGCCUGGUGUUGGGGCCCGGCCGCUACCCUGCGGCCGUCCCCUAAAUUCAGUGGCGGCCUCGCCGUGAUCCCUUGCGUAGUAAUGCACCUCGCACCGGAGAGCGCCGUGGCCACGCCGUAAAACCCCCAAUUUUCAAUGGUUGACCUCGGAUCAGGUGGGAAUACCCGCUGAACUUAAGCAUAUCAAAAGCGGAGGA
rnacentral:misc_RNA from 1 species